CAUCCGGUUCUCCCACUGCUGCUGCUGCUGCUGCUGCCGAGGGUCCCAGCAGGUCCCGGCGGGAGGCGCGGCAGCAGCCAGGCAGCUCCGCCUGGGAGGCUCAGGGCUCUUGGCGCGCGGCCGCUCACAGGCACCCGACCCUGGCGUGGCGCCACGAUGCCCAAGAGGAAGAGGAAGGGACAGAAGGUCCACUGGAUGCAGAGAGUCUGAGAGAAGAUCUUCCCAGUAGUGAACCUGCCCUCAUCUCUGGGGAACUGCAAGGAAGGUUCCUCAGUGCCAAAGAAAGAAAGAGAAUCUGUGAUCUCAAGCUAUCACCACUCCACCUGGAUACCCACCCCUGGGUAGGACUGAUAUCACAACAAUCUCUAUCUGCAAGAAGUGCAUUAACCCCAAGGCAGCCUGAACACAGCUGAGGAUGGAUCAUCACUGCCCCUGGCUAAGAAACUGUGUGGGCCACUAUAACCAUCCGUACUUCUUCUCUUUCUGCUUUUUGAUGACUCUAUAGGCUGUGUCUAUUGCAGCUACGGAAGUUGGGACUUUUUCCAGGGAGCUUAUGCUACCAUCAAGACUUAUCACCAUACCCCACCGCCCAGUUUCUCCUUUCGAGAAAAAGUGACUCACAGAGUCUUGUCUACCUCUGGUUCCUGUGCAGUUCCGUGGCACUUGCCCU
ensembl:lncRNA